AUUGAGCCUUAUCUGGUUUGGCUGCUUGUGGCCGCCUGAGCACCCCAUGGUUGACAUUCUCAAGAUUUCAAGGGCUUGACAGACACUGACCGUAUGCUCAAAAACAUGGGUAUUGCAGUUAGUCCUGUGAUAUUGAGCUUAAGAAAACUUCCAGUCUUCACCUCUGUAUUCCAUGCACGGCCUUUAAUAUGAAGUUGUAAGAUGGAGGGGCUAGAAUAUGUUCCCCAGAAAAUAAAUUAUAUGAGUAAUUGUGGUGAAGAAAUAAGCAGGCUAAGCAUUGAGCAAGGGGUUAAAAGUCUCAUAAGUAUGAAAUCCUAAAGCACCUGCUUUCUCUAGUGGCAUGCAAGUUAUUUUGCAUUGUUGCCAAGGUGACUAUGCUUGAUGACGUAAUCUGUACUGAUUGAUUUGAAUUAUCACAGGUCAGAAGCUAUCUGCAUCCAUCUGAAACAGAGUGAACACGGGUGUUACUGCAACUUUGAAGCUCUGUUUACCAAGGCUAAAGCAUGAGAGACGUCCAUAGAGUUGUCCUUGCUGUUGACGGAGCCGAGUUCACUACCAGCAGCAUUGAGAAGGGCAUGGGCUUGCUCCUUGGUGCCUUCUUCGUGUUCAACAUCGUAUGUCCUCCUAGCUGCCCUCUCACGAUGGAGUUUUUGCAGAGGUACUUUGGGCAAAACCAUCAAAAAAGGCGGGGCAAAGCGCACAAUUGCGACAUCGUGCCAAGACUGCCGAGUCUCGUCAAAGCCAUCUGAGUUUUAACGUGGUACCAUAGUGCUACCAUAAUGCUGCGCUCUUCAUGCUGAACCUGAAAGGCUACUGGAUAGAUGGAUGGAUGUAAAACUUUAAAAGGCAACUGGGAGUCAACAUUUUAAGAAAUAAAUCUGCAAGUAUAUAUGCCAAGCGUUGUGGGAUGUUUUAA